rnacentral:piRNA from 1 species
UCAAGAUGAGUUGCCCUGCUUUGAAUGCC